rnacentral:rRNA from 1 species
UACGUAGGGGGCAAGCGUUGUCCGGAAUCAUUGGGCGUAAAGCGCGUGUAGGCGGUCCGGUAAGUCGGCUGUGAAAGUCCAGGGCUCAACCCUGGGAUGCCGGUCGAUACUGCCGGACUAGAGUUCGGAAGAGGCGAGUGGAAGUUCCCGGUGUGAGCGGUGAAAUGCGCAGAUAUCGGGAGGAACACCAAUGGCGAAGGCAGCUCGCUGGGACGUUACGUGACGCUGACGACGCGAAAGCGUGGGGAGCCAACAGGGAGU